AUACGGAGGGUGCGAGCGUUAAUCGGAAAUACUGGGCGUAAAGCGUACGUAGGCGGUUGGUUAAGUUAGAUGUGAAAGCCCCGGGCUUAACCUGGGAACUGCGUUUAAAACUGGCGAACUAGAGUUGAGUAGAGGGGAGUGGAAUUUCAGGUGUAGCGGUGAAAUGCGUAGAGAUCUGAAGGAACACCAGUGGCGAAGGCGACUCCCUGGACUCGAACUGACGCUGAGGUACGAAAGCGUGGGUAGCAAACGGGAUUAGAAACCCUUGUAGUCC
rnacentral:rRNA from 1 species